CAAACACCUCGGUAGGUGAGGCGUCUGCACGGACACAGGCCACUGACCCCGAACGUCGAGAGACGCCCCGGGUCAGGACAGCUCUUCCCGGCUUAAGGGUUGAGCCCAAGUGGCUUCCAGACGAUGGUCUGGAUACGCCGUGCAGUGCCGAAGCUCCGUCGAGUGGGGGUGUUCG
rnacentral:sRNA from 1 species